GCGAAAUGACUUUCAAUGUGUCAAAAAAAAAAAAGAAAAAGAUAAAAGAAUUGAAAAAGAAGAAGAAAAAAGUAAUGUAUCGAGAAGAGGGGAUCUCCUUGCAAACUAGCAAGCAACAUGUACAAGAAAAUCAAACCAAUUGGGGUCGUCCUUUUAGUCAAUCAUUUUCAUACCCACUACCUCUUCCAAAUAGAACCCCUUGCCAAAGAAAAACUGGGGCAAUUUUGUGAACCUCUCGCAAAUUUUUCAUCAACCCAUACCACGAAAAAACUGGGGCAGCUUUGUAAGUCUCAUCAAUCCAUAAUCCCAUGACUGGGGCAACAUUGUAAGUCUCACACAAAAUUUCAUCAAUCCAUAAUCCCAUGAUUGGGGCAACUUUGCAAGUCUCACUUGAUUUUGUGUCACCAAUUUUCAUGGAUCCAAACCCCAGCUCAUUUUCCUAAACACAAAAUCGGGGCAAAAUUUUUGAUAUAUUGUGUUUCGUCUUGACACUCCUUUGAGGAUUGAAGUACCCAUGUGCUGGUCCUGGUCUUUCAAACCACUCCAAUUGACUCUCAUUCUCUUCAAAAUCAUCCNCUUGCCAACAAAUUCAAGCAUGUGUGCACUGAUGUCUCGAAAAAAGUCAAAAUGAAAUAAUCUCAAAUUUAAGACUUCGGAUGCAUGACAUUACUCAGAUUUCACAAAAUCUUGGAAAUAAAGACCAGUUUGAUGAUUGCAAGUAAGAUGAAUGACUCAAGAAAUGCAAAACGAAGCAAAUUUUUUUCGUCAAUCAAUCAGAAAGAAAAUCUUUCGGAUCGAGACCCUCUUCAUUCAUAUGAUUGGUUGUCGAGUCCUUCUUUGAAAAUACAAAAAGAGUAGCAUCAAAAUUUCAACACUGUGCAAUGAAAGGCUUCAAUGCCUCACUGUCUUUCCAAAAAUCAAAUUUCUAUCAAAAUCGCAAAACAUUCCACAAAAUUAUGAAUUUCAAAAUUUCAAAAGCCCAGUUUCAUCUGGCCAUUUCAAAAUAUCAAAAGCCCA
rnacentral:lncRNA from 1 species